rnacentral:rRNA from 1 species
AGCAGCCGCGGUAAUUCCAGCUCCAAUAGCGUAUAUUAAAGUUGUUGCAGUUAAAAAGCUCGUAGUUGAAUUUUAGGCCUGGCCAGGCGGUCCGUCUUUGGCGAGUACUGUCUUGUUGUCGGGUCUUCCUUCUGGUGAACCAGUAUGUCCUUCAUUGGGUGUGUUGGGGAGCCAGGACCAUUACCUUAGAAAAAAUUAGAGUGUUUAAAGCGAGCUAUUGCUUGAAUAGAUUAGCAUGGAAUAAUAGAAUAGGACGUUGUGGUUCUAUUUUGUUGGUUUCUAGGACCACCGUAAUGAUUAAUAGGGAUAGUUGGGGGCAUUAGUAUUCAAUUGUCAGAGGUGAAAUUCUUGGAUUUAUUGAAGACUAACUACUGCGAAAGCAUUUGCCAAGGAUGUUUUCAUUAAUCAAGAACGAAAGUUAGGGGAUCGAAGACGAUCAGAUACCGUCGUAGUCUUAACCAUAAACUAUGCCGACUAGGAAUCGGGCGACGUUAUUUUCACGACUCGCUCGGCGCCUUAU